rnacentral:precursor_RNA from 1 species
GUUUGUUUGUAUUGCCUAAACGAUCUAGAGUGUACUGAUACUUCUUUGUUUCAAUAAGAAUUGAAGCUGGGGGAUUCUCUUUCUUUUUUAAUAAAGAGGAGAGAACAAUAUACGUUUGGAGAUUUUAGUUAAAUGAGAGAACAAUAUACGUUUGGAGAUUUUAGUUUAUGUGAUGAUACAUUUUAUUUUUUUGCUAUUCUGGUCGUGAUGGAUGGUUGGAAAAUGGAAACUAGAUGCAUGUGGCCAUAGUGUGGACAAUUUGAGGUGGCUGUUGAGGUAGCAAACAAGAUUAGUGCAAUUUACACAUUUACUCCCUCUAUCCCAGAAAAAAACAAUUCCUAGCUUUGCAUUUGGAUAAACAAUUGUUCAGAUUUAAAGUUGGAAAUUGUUUUUUUUCUAGGACAGAGGGAGUAGAUGUGUAAUUUGUGCCUCUAGGAAGGUGGUAGUAUGCCAGUGGCACCAACUGUGGUGGUUUCAGCUACCAUGGAAGCCAACCAUGAUAGGACUCUGGUAGGCAGGGGCAAAUCUAUGUCGGGCUACACACCACUGGCAGAGGAUACUGGGUUUGAUUUUGCUUUUUAGUUUUUCCUCUGGGUCUGCCACUGCGGUAUGUUGCAUGUGUGUGCCUUUCAAAGUAGUUUUUCUUGUUGAUUCUUUUUUCCUGAGGGGAUGGGGAUACAAUGACAAUCAAGCACCUGACUUAUUACCUCUUGAUAGAUAAGAUAAACAUGCACCUGAUUUA